rnacentral:ncRNA from 1 species
UCAAUAGCAAACUUGUCGCAAGACAAGGACGCAAAGCUAAAGGGCCUAACGAUAUAGGUAGCCAGUUGCCGA